UACGUAGGGGGCAAGCGUUGUCCGGAAUUAUUGGGCGUAAAGCGCGCGCAGGCGGCUGUUUAAGUCUGGUGUUUAAGCCCGGGGCUCAACCCCGGCUCGCACCGGAAACUGGGCAGCUUGAGUGCAGGAGAGGGAAGUGGAAUUCCACGUGUAGCGGUGAAAUGCGUAGAGAUGUGGAGGAACACCAGUGGCGAAGGCGACUUCCUGGCCUGUAACUGACGCUGAGGCGCGAAAGCGUGGGGAGCAAACAGG
rnacentral:rRNA from 1 species